GGCAGGCGGCAGCUACCAUGCAGUCGAGCGGAUGACGGAGCUUGCUCCCUGAUUCAGCGGCGGACGGGUGAGUAAUGCCUAGGAAUCUGCCUGGUAGUGGGGGACAACGUUUCGAAAGGAACGCUAAUACCGCAUACGUCCUACGGGAGAAAGUGGGGGAUCUUCGGACCUUGCGCUAUCAGAUGAGCCUAUGUCGGAUUAGCUAGUUGGUGAGGUAAAGGCUCACCAAGGCGACGAUCCGUAACUGGUCUGAGAGGAUGAUCAGUCACACUGGAACUGAGACACGGUCCAGACUCCUACGGGAGGCAGCAGUGGGGAAUAUUGGACAAUGGGCGAAAGCCUGAUCCAGCCAUGCCGCGUGUGUGAAGAAGGUCUUCGGAUUGUAAAGCACUUUAGGUUGGGAGGAAGGGCAGUAAGUUAAUACCUUGCUGUUUUGACGUUACCAACAGAAUAAGCACCGGCUAACUUCGUGCCAGCAGCCGCGGUAAUACGAAGGGUGCAAGCGUUAAUCGGAAUUACUGGGCGUAAAGCGCGCGUAGGUGGUUCGUUAAGUUGGAUGUGAAAUCCCCGGGCUCAACCUGGGAACUGCAUCCAUAACUGGCGAGCUAGAGUAUGGCAGAGGGUGGUGGAAUUUCCUGUGUAGCGGUGAAAUGCGUAGAUAUAGGAAGGAACACCAGUGGCGAAGGCGACCACCUGGGCUAAUACUGACACUGAUGUGCGAAAGCGUGGGGAGCAAACAGGAUUAGAUACCCUGGUAGUCCACGCCGUAAACGAUGUCAACUAGCCGUUGGGAUCCUUGAGAUCUUAUUGCCGCAGCUAACGCAUUAAGUCGACCGCCUGGGAGUACGGCCGCAAGUUAAAACUCAAUGAUUGACGGGGGCCCGCACAGCGGGGAGCAUGUGGUUUAUUCUAUCACCAAGACCUUACCACCCUUGACUUCAGAGACUUUCCAGAAUGGAUGUGGCUUCGGACUUGACAAGGUGCUGCAUGGCUGUCGUCACUCGUGUCGUGAGAUGUUGGGUAGUCCGUAACGACGCAACCCUGUC
rnacentral:rRNA from 1 species